rnacentral:rRNA from 1 species
GAUGAACGCUGGCGGCGUGCCUAGUACAUGCAAGUCGAGCGAACGGACGAGAAGCUUGCUUUUCUGAUGUUAGCGGCGGACGGGUGAGUAACACGUGGAUAACCUACCUAUAAGACUGGGAUAACUUCGGGAAACCGGAGCUAAUAUCGGAUAAUAUUUUGAACCGCAUGGUUCAAAAGUGAAAGACGGUCUUGCUGUCACUUAUAGAUGGAUCCGCGCUGCAUUAGCUAGUUGGUAAGGUAACGGCUUACCAAGGCAACGAUGCAUAGCCGACCUGAGAGGGUGAUCGGCCACACUGGAACUGAGACACGGUCCAGACUCCUACGGGAGGCAGCAGUAGGGAAUCUUCCGCAAUGGGCGAAAGCCUGACGGAGCAACGCCGCGUGAGUGAUGAAGGUCUUCGGAUCGUAAAACUCUGUUAUUAGGGAAGAACAUAUGUGUAAGUAACUGUGCACAUCUUGACGGUACCUAAUCAGAAAGCCACGGCUAACUACGUG